AAGUCGUAACAAGGUUUCCGUAGGUGAACCUGCGGAAGGAUCAUUAACACGUUAAACAACCCUGUGAACCUUGAACGUGCUCCUGCAGCCCCAUGAAAUCAGCAAGGAGUCAGGGACCUCUGCCGAAACGGCUGUUCAGUACCGAGCGCGGUGUAAGCGACCUGGCAUCCCCAAGCGAUCAGUGUCUGAAAGUGUCAUUGAUUGUGUAAGGAUGGCGCAGUAAACGAUUGCUAGAGGCCCACACGGCCGGCAACCGGGUCCCAGGGCUCACGCCCCUUUAUCACCCCACAGUUUCCGACUGGGCAGCCGAUAAUACGGACGCCGUAAAAAACUGAACAACUGUUAACAAUGGAUAUCUUGGUUCUC
rnacentral:misc_RNA from 1 species